rnacentral:rRNA from 1 species
UGAGUAACCUGCCCUUAACUCUGGGAUAAGCCUGGGAAACUGGGUCUAAUACCGGAUAUGACUCCUCAUCGCAUGGUGGGGGGUGGAAAGCUUUAUUGUGGUUUUGGAUGGACACGCGGCCUAUCAGCUUGUUGGUGAGGUAAUGGCUCACCAAGGCGACGACGGGUAGCCGGCCUGAGAGGGUGACCGGCCACACUGAGACUGAGACACGGCCCAGACCUCCGUACGGGGAGCAG